GAUUGAACGCUGGCGGUAUGCUUAACACAUGCAAGUCGAACGGAAACGAUACUAGCUUGCUAGUAGGCGUCGAGUGGCGGACGGGUGAGUAACGCGUAGGAAUCUGCCUGAUAGUGGGGGAUAGCCCGAAGAAAUUCGGAUUAAUACCGCAUAAUCUAUUCGUAGUAAAGUGGGGGACUUUCGAGCCUCACGCUAUCAGAUGAGCCUGCGUAAGAUUAGCUUGUUGGUAGGGUAAAAGCCUACCAAGGCGACGAUCUUUAGCUGGUCUGAGAGGAUGAUCAGCCACAUCGGGACUGAGACACGGCCCGAACUCCUACGGGAGGCAGCAGUGGGGAAUAUUGGACAAUGGGGGCAACCCUGAUCCAGCAAUACCGCGUGUGUGAAGAAGGCCUGAGGGUUGUAAAGCACUUUCAAUUGUGAAGAAAAGUUAGCGGUUAAUAACCGUUAGCCUUGACGUUAACUUUAGAAGAAGCACCGGCUAACUCCGUGCCAGCAGCCGCGGUAAUACGGAGGGUGCAAGCGUUAAUCGGAAUUACUGGGCGUAAAGCGUGCGUAGGCGGUUUAUUAAGUCAGAUGUGAAAGCCCCGGGCUUAACCUGGGAACUGCAUUUGAAACUGGGUCAACUAGAGUAUGGUAGAGGAAAGUGGAAUUUCUGGGUGUAGCGGGUGAAAUUGCGUAGAUAUCAGAAGGACAUUCAUUGGCGAAGCAGCUUUCUGACCAUUACUGACGCUGAGGUACGAAAGCGUGGGUAGCAAACAGGAUUAGAUACCUUGGUAGUUCCACGCGUAAACGAUGAUAACUAGCCGUUGGGGGGAUUUACCCUUUAGUGGCGAAGCUAACGCGUUAAGUUAUCCGCUGGGGAGUACGGCCGCAAGGUUAAAACUCAAAGGAAUUGACGGGGACCCGCACAAGCGGUGGAGCAUGUGGUUUAAUUCGAUGCAACGCGAAGAACCUUACCUGGUCUUGACAUCCUGCGAACUUUCUAGAAAUAGAUUGGUGCCUUCGGGAACGCAGUGACAGGUGCUGCAUGGCCGUCGUCAGCUCGUGUCGUGAGAUGUUGGGUUAAGUCCCGUAACGAGCGCAACCCCUAUCCUUAUUUGCCAGCACGUCAUGGUGGGAACUAUAAGGAGACUGCCGGUGAUAAACCGGAGGAAGGCGGGGACGACGUCAAGUCAUCAUGGCCCUUACGACCAGGGCUACACACGUGCUACAAUGGGAAGGACAAAGAGCCGCGAAGCCGCGAGGUGUAGCUAAUCUCAUAAACCUUUUCGUAGUCCGGAUUGGAGUCUGCAACUCGACUCCAUGAAGUCGGAAUCGCUAGUAAUCGUAGAUCAGAAUGCUACGGUGAAUACGUUCCCGGGUCUUGUACACACCGC
rnacentral:rRNA from 1 species